CUGAAUGGCUUUGGCCUUCAACCUUGAAAACAUGUGGAAGCAAGAUGUGCUUCGGUGCCCCUGGCGCCGCAUUUAUGCAGUGAAGCCUUUUUUGUCUGAAUACAAUACAAGAAAUA
rnacentral:misc_RNA from 1 species